rnacentral:rRNA from 1 species
UACGAAGGGGGCUAGCGUUGCUCGGAAUUACUGGGCGUAAAGGGCGCGUAGGCGGACAGUUAAGUCAGAGGUGAAAGCCCAGGGCUCAACCCUGGAAUUGCCUUUGAUACUGGCUGUCUUGAGUGCGGGAGAGGUGUGUGGAACUCCGAGUGUAGAGGUGAAAUGCGCAGAUAUCAGGAGGAACACCAACGGCGAAGGCAGCUCUCUGGGACGUUACUGACGCUGAGACGCGAAAGCGUGGGGAGCAAACAGG